AUCUUGGGGAGAGAGGAGCAUUCUAUAGCGUGGUCAUAUAAAAACCGAUACUUACGUAUCACAGAGAGACAAAGGUUCACCUGCCGAGCAGGAAAUCGGAUCUCCAAAAACCCAACAAUCAAGAUGUGCCGUGGAAUUGAUCUUCCUAACAAGACAAUAAAGAUGGGCUGCAAAGCAUGGGUUCGGGCGUACGUUUUUGAAGUGUUGGACGACCUGUAUACAUACCUCAGCCCAGCUAACCUGAAGAAGGAAAAUAACGAGGACCUUCUCAGCUCGAGUGAAAAAAUCUAUGGGAUACAGGUUUAUCCUGUUCAUAGUAUGCACGAGCCAUGUGGUCAUCUACAAAGCCCUCACCCGGAAGUUGUAAAUAUCAUAAAGGAUAAUGGUUACAAAUGCCAAAAUCUUUGGAGGUUAAG